rnacentral:rRNA from 1 species
UACGAAGGGAGCUAGCGUUGUUCGGAAUCACUGGGCGUAAAGCGCACGUAGGCGGAUGUGUCAGUCAGGGGUGAAAUCCCGGAGCUCAACUUCGGAACUGCCUUUGAUACAGCACGUCUUGAGUCCGGAAGAGGUGGGUGGAAUUCCUAGUGUAGAGGUGAAAUUCGUAGAUAUUAGGAAGAACACGGUGGCGAAGGCGGCCCACUGGUCGGUACUGACGCUGAGGUGCGAAAGCGUGGGGAGCAAACAGG